UACGUAGGGGGCUAGCGUUGUCCGGAAUCAUUGGGCGUAAAGAGCGUGUAGGCGGCUCGGUAAGUCCGCUGUGAAAGUCCAGGGCUCAACCCUGGAAUGCCAGUGGAAACUGUUGAGCUAGAGUCCGGAAGAGGCGAGUGGAAUUCCUGGUGUAGCGGUGAAAUGCGCAGAUAUCAGGAGGAACACCGAUGGCGAAGGCAGUGGGCUGGGCCGGCACUGACGCUGAGGAGCGAAAGCGUGGGGAGCGAACAGG
rnacentral:rRNA from 1 species